rnacentral:rRNA from 1 species
GACAUAGGGCGCGAACGUUAUCCGGAAUUAUUGGGCGUAAAGGGCGUGUAGAUGGUGUGAAAAGUUAUCCGUGGUAAAUCAGGGCUUAACCCUGUGGAAGCGGGUAAUACUGUCAGACUAGAGGGCAGGAGAGGUUAACGGAACUCCAUGUGGAGCGGUAAAAUGCGUAGAUAUAUGGAAGAACAUCAAUAAAGGCGAAGGCAGUUAACUAUGCUGUUUCUGACAUUGAGGCACGAAAGCGUGGGGAGCAAAACGG